UCUGUAACAGAUUCAACGAGGACUUCACAUUCUGAAACUUCAGAAAUAAGAGUCAAUGAUACUCGAAAAAAAAACAUACAAUCCAUUUCUGCCAAAAGUUACAUGAUAUGGAAAGUGGGACGCUGGCUGUUCUUUGCUCUGCUGGGGAUCUGGACAGUCGCUGUCACAUGGUUCACAGGAGACAAAAAGAGAUCUGAUCAAUCAGAUCCUCGCAGACUGGUCCAAGAGAAAAAGAGAAGGAUCCCAGAUAACACUGAUCGUGGAGGAGUGUUGCACCAAGAUUAAGUAUUCAUUACUCAUCCGCCCUGUAGAGAAUUGAUCUCUUGUUAUUAUAUCACAGAAUUGCAUUGCAGAAGGUGAAUUCGAACAAAAUAAUCUUAUCAUGCUUCAAGAUGGUGGUCUUGCUUAAUAGAAAUCUGCUCGCAACACUUCACCCACACUGAUCUGAAUAUUAUGACAUUGUCUCUUGAUUUCCUGCAUAAACCCAGCAUCAAUUUGUAAGCUUUGUAUGAUCAUGAACUGCUCAAAAUUCUUUUACCAUGUUAAUAUCUCUUCUCGGGCUUCCA